rnacentral:rRNA from 1 species
UACGAAGGGGGCUAGCGUUGCUCGGAAUCACUGGGCGUAAAGCGCACGUAGGCGGAUUGUUAAGUCAGGGGUGAAAUCCUGGAGCUCAACUCCAGAACUGCCUUUGAUACUGGCGAUCUCGAGUCCGGGAGAGGUGAGUGGAACUGCGAGUGUAGAGGUGAAAUUCGUAGAUAUUCGCAAGAACACCAGUGGCGAACGCGGCUCACUGGCCCGGUACUGACGCUGAGGUGCGAAAGCGUGGGGAGCAAACAGG